rnacentral:rRNA from 1 species
UACGAAGGGGGCUAGCGUUGUUCGGAAUUACUGGGCGUAAAGGGCGCGUAGGCGGCUGCCCAAGUCAGAUGUGAAAGCCCCGGGCUUAACCUGGGAAUUGCAUUUGAUACUCUGGAGCUUGAGUGUGGGAGAGGAGAGUGGAAUUCCCAGUGUAGAGGUGAAAUUCGUAGAUAUUGGGAAGAACACCAGUGGCGAAGGCGGCUCUCUGGACCACAACUGACGCUGAGGCGCGAAAGCGUGGGGAGCAAACAGG